AUGAAGGGAGAAAAGAAAAUAAAGGAAGUGACAAAGAAGAGAAGAAAGAAGAAAAGAAGGAGGGAGGAAAUGGUUGGAUUCUUUUGGAUUCUGGAUUCUGGAACCAGUUCAUCAAACCCCUGCCAUUCUCUGGCAAGGAGGAGUUAUUCGGAAUGGGAACGGAGAAGGAACAUACUGAAAUCAAGGGGAAAGGAAGGAAGAGCUCAGCAACUUUACACUCUACCACUUUCUGGAAAAACAGGCAACGUGCCAAAUCCAUGAACUAAAUUCCAAUCAAGUCUUCUAGUCCAAGCUAUUUGGCCACAAUUUUAUAAAGGGAUUGUAGUAUGAGGGUUGGAGGGAUGAAAGGUAGGCUACAGUUGUGUAUAGACUUCACCAGUACAACAAUUUUCACUAUUUCUAUAAGAAAUAAAUCCUGAAAGCUGAGA
rnacentral:lncRNA from 1 species